rnacentral:rRNA from 1 species
CCUACGGGUGGCAGCAGUGGGGAAUAUUGGACAAUGGGGGCAACCCUGAUCCAGCCAUGCCGCGUGUGUGAAGAAGGCCCUCGGGUUGUAAAGCACUUUCAGUGAGGAAGAACGCCUGGUGGUUAAUACCCAUCAGGAAAGACAUCACUCACAGAAGAAGCACCGGCUAACUCCGUGCCAGCAGCCGCGGUAAUACGGAGGGUGCGAGCGUUAAUCGGAAUUACUGGGCGUAAAGCGCGCGUAGGUGGCUUGAUAAGCCGGUUGUGAAAGCCCCGGGCUCAACCUGGGAACGGCAUCCGGAACUGUCAUGCUAGAGUGCAGGAGAGGAAGGUAGAAUUCCCGGUGUAGCGGUGAAAUGCGUAGAGAUCGGGAGGAAUACCAGUGGCGAAGGAGGCCUUCUGGACUGACACUGACACUGAGGUGCGAAAGCGUGGGUAGCAAACAGGAUUAGAUACCCGUGUAGUC